UGGCAGUGGAGGUGAGGGUAUUUUGGUGGAGAUUCUUGUCUACUUGGGGUCUUCUAAAGCAUCGAGUACUUGAAAUACUUAGUUACCUUUGAAAUCCCUUCGAGUAUGUUCGGUGAUGGUCAACAAACUCAAACUCUGCAGUUGUGAUGUGCUGAAGGCUGCUUUGUUUAUCAGCAUCUUAUGAUAUAUGAUUUUCCACCAAGAGGCCCACACUUAAAUCAGGGGGACAUUGGACGUUUGCCUUGCUAGUUCUCACCAAAUCUGAGAGAAUGGAAGAGUUGAGAGGACCAGCAUGACACUUCUGGUUCCUUAUGAGAUAUAGAGCUUAAGAAGCUCCAUUAAUCAUAGUGUGGGACUGCUUGGACUUUUAGUUUCAGAUAAUACACAUUAUCUGAUUGCAGUGGCUCUGACUACAAAAAUUACGUUUUAAUUACUUGAGUCAAUAUAUAGUUUCAGAGUGAAUGAUUGUGGAGAGGCCUAAAAUAGCAUGCUAGACUUGAAUCUCUCCCACAGAAUUUUAAGUAGUUUGGAUAUGAUUCUACAUUAACACAAGGUCAAUGCAUCAGCAUGAGACUCUUGUGUCAGAGUUUAAAGCAGAUCAAGCUAGAAUCAUCAGCAAUAGCAUGCACAUGUGUAUCUCCACUUAAUCCUGGUUUAAUGAACUUUACAUUUUGCAUCUGUGUUGGGGGGAAAAGAGAGACCUCUUAAAUUCGUUGUUAUUUGUAUGUCUUUCAGUCCACUAUGAUCACCAGAGAAAUAUUAAUGAUAUGUAGUUUUAAUCAUAAAGCUAUAAGCAAAUCACUUCAAAUUUGUGACUCAAAUAGUAGAAUCUCAAUCAUACUUUUGAAGUCCUCUGUAAUAUAAUACUAAGUAUUUGCAUAAAAUGACUAAUUUUCAUUCACUUCAUGAAGAGAAUAGU